rnacentral:ncRNA from 1 species
CAAUAGGCGAAGAUGAGGAAAGUAGUGAAAAUAUGACUGUUCACAGAGACAUAAUCAAAGUGGUGAGAGAUUAUGACAGCAAUUUUACGAAGAUCACCUUGGAGCUGAAGACUUGAAAAGAUAACUAGGGUCUUCCGGAGGCAUACGUUACAUGUAUAUAAGUGACAAUACAGAGUAAAUCUUCAUGAAAUUUUGAACUUACUGUGUGUUGUAAUGAGGGUGGUACCGCGAUUAUUCGUCCCUGAG